GCGGACAGAAAUUCAAUGUGUAUUCUCUGUGAGGCUCAUAAAAGAAUAACUCUCCAAUUUAAAGGCUCUAAUGCCCUCGGAGCCCUUUGAGGAAUCUAGAUUAAUGGAGGUUACUCAGAGAACUGCAGAACAUAGGCAAUCCAGCUAGUGAAUGUGUAACACUUGGAUCCAAAAUCUAAAACGCUAUCUCAUGAGGCAAAAGCAAACAAAGAGAAAUGUCCACAGAGAUAACAUAGAGGGAGCUAAAAGAGCCUCUCUAAUUGGCCAACAUCAGAACAGAUGGAGAAAUAAAUAUAUUUAUGAGGAGAAACUGGCUGAAAAAGAAAACACCAGUGCCUUAUGAAAGCAGGGAUUGAGACACUGUGCAUUCUUUCACGGCCUGCUUGGAAGUUUGGGUUUGGUGACUACAUCUGUUUUGUUUCACUUCUAAGACGUUCUUUUACUCCAAUAAGAAGAAAUUCUUCCCUUAUUUAUUGUGCCAGAGGUGACAUGGGGAACUCUCAUCAUCUAUGCAAUUGGGUAAAACUACAGCAAAACAAAAUGGACUUUCACGGAUAAAAUUUACGUAGCUGAAAACAGCAUGUUAUCUCUAAGAGAAAUAUUGUCAUCCGUCUCUGACUGUGCCUCUGCAAUUCUUAUGAAAAGCAAAAUCAAAAUAAGUCAAAAAGAAAAAUAAAUUCUGUUUCUUUGCAAAAUGUUGAACA
rnacentral:lncRNA from 1 species